rnacentral:misc_RNA from 1 species
UAUUUAUUUAUUUAUUUAUUAAUGCAAAUGGUAAAAUGUCUUGGAAUUGCAACUAUAAAUGGUGCAAGUUCCUGUCUUUCCCAAUUCUCCUUAUAGGACCUUCCUUGCUUGGGAAGACUGUCAAUGGUACAGUGUCCUUGCUGUUAGCUAUGGGAAUUAAUUAUUUUCAUUCGAUAUAUCAGAUAACUAUUGCAAAUUGCUGGGAUUAGGAACUUAGUAUUGUUGUGACUUACUAAAGUUGUAACAUAGUUGCAAUUCAAAGUUUGAAGAAUGGGAUAAAAAUUGAUGGCUGGCUAGUAAUUAAGCAUGUAUUUCCAACUCGCAAAGGAGUUUUGUCUUAAUGCUAAUGGUGCAAUGGACCAUGUGUUAUGUCGGGAUGUUGCCAAAUAUAUUUUGGUGAGACAAAAUGAAUUAGUAGUGAGAAGUAAGCUUAGUGGAACCGUGCAAUUGGCAAUUGGUAGUUUUCAUAUCUGCACAAUUGGGUUAUAUUAAUUAAGAAGUUAUAGCAAUUUCAACUAUCUUUGAUACUUAUUUCAAUUUUCAUAGCGAUCAUUGGAUUUCAUUGACCUAAUUCAUACAUUUCAAGCAACAUAUGCUUAUGUUGUUUUUGUCACUUUUCUUAACUGCAUUAAUUUCUAUAUCCUUGUCUGCAUUGUUAGCUUUUAUCCUGAUCAAUUGCUUGUGCAGCUAUGCACUGAGUGGGAUAGGUUGUGACUUGUGACAAAGGUGAGUAGCGAAAAUUGAGUAAAGGUAGAUUAUUGUAUUGGAAACCAUUGAGUGUUGAAUUUGUAGAACAGCCUUGGGAGUGGGAUGUCUUACCUAAGAAUGCUGUUUCAAAACUUGCAUUAUAUGUGGUGUGUUAUGAGAUCAUAGUCUUGGAACGGUGUCUAUUUCAUUCAUCAUAUAAUCACAGAGGUGUGACCCCGUCUUGAUCGUAUCUUUUCUAAACAUUCUUAAUCUAAGUGCUGGACUUGCAGGGCAUAUAGAAGUACAUACAUUGCUGAAUGCUAAAUGGCACUAUGAAACUAUAAUAAAUUAUUUGGCUAUUAUGCAGGGCAUCAGACAUUUUGAAUGAGCUCAAAGCACUGUUCAUGUCUGCAGAUGCUAUCCCUGUUCAAAUUCUCCGUAUUGGGGCAUGCUUUCAGAUAUCAGAAGGUUUAUCUUUAGGCGUCAGAGAGUUUCUUGAGGAGUUCCUUAGCAAGUGGCAUUUUGUUGAUGGAAGAUAUGUUCUUGUUGGUGCACAUGUAGAUACCAAUGUGCACAAAGGAUGUGCUGAAAGGAAUGUUUUAGGAGUUGAUGAGUAUAUGGAGGUUGUUGAAAUCUAUGCUGUCACACUUCUUGGUAAAACUUUGAAAGAUCUUGACUGUGCAAUUGCUUGGGUUGAGAAAGCAGCAAUGCCUGAGGAAGGACGGCAGGGACUUUUAAGAAGAUUACACUCCUUGUACUCUGUCAAAGCCAGCAACUCAUCCCAAGGCUCGUCAGUGUUGCUAGAAAAUAAGCAAGAAGCUCACAAUUCAUCAUCAAAAGAACUUAAUGUUUCUGAAGGGUAUUCUGAAGUUUUGAAAACCAAUUACCUGCCUAAUGGGGAGAAUACUACAAAACAGGGAAUUUUGAAAUUGUCCAGGCGCAUAGACCCAUGUUUUUGGUGGUUCCGUACUAUCAAUUUGAAGUUUGGUAAUUUGCAAUUAGUCAUAACCAAUGGGAAGAUUUUUCUUGGAUGCUUGAUGAUUCUUGUGUAUUACCUUCUCCGAAGGAAGCAAGCUACUUUAAAAAGGAUUGUUAGGAGACAGGUUUUGUCCUUAAAAAAGGCUUUGGUGGACUUAUGGCAGCUCACAUUUUCAUACCAAGUAAACCCCCUAGCUGCUGUUCAACCUCUUCCUCCAACACGAGGUGGUCGAUGACUUUUGACAAGGAAGACAACUAUAUCGAAGUUUGCCAUUAAUCUCCUUGUAUAACUGGUAUAUUUUAUACUCAUCUUCUCAUGGAUGCCUUCAUUUCCUCUUUUUCCUUGUCAUUAACAGAAUGAUCUCAUCCAUAUAUCCUCAUGGUCAUAUAAAACUAUAAAGAUAAGCAAUACAAUGUGUGUAUGUAUAGAUAAAUUACUAAAAACUGGAGACUUAUCAUAAUAUACACUUUGGUCUCUAUUGUUUCAAAAUUAGUAAUUUAAGUCCUUAUUCUACCAUCAUAAAAAAAUGUAAGAUUUUGAAAGACUCAAGUAUUUUAUAACAUAACAAUUUAGGAACUAAAUUAAAAUUUGAAAUAUUAGGGGUAAAUGUGGUCUAAUUUUUAAAUGUUAGGGACGAAAGUAUAAUAAGAAAAAAGUUCCAAUGCUCAUAGAGAGCUGUUAACAAACCUCAGGGUAUAUACAAUAUAUUAUUUUGUAAUUUAUCAUAUGUGUGAGUAUAUUCAUGCAUUUUGAUUUUAAUUUAUCCAACAAUGCAUUUGUAUCCCAUAAACUAAUCUUAUGCGUGAUAACAUUCAUGAUUAUAUAGAAUAAGAAAGCCAAGAAACGCAGUGAUAAAAGUUCUUUUAUUUUGGAAAUUGGAUGUUCAUCUAUUCAUUUCUCUUUUCCUUACCCUUUUCCUUACCCUUUCUUUUCCUCUAUAAGAAAAUAAUUAUGUACUAAAACUUGUAUGGUAGAACUUUUAGUCUUUUGUUUGGUGCUGUUUGGACCUCAUAUUUUUCCUUUAAUCUCACCUAUGAAGUCCAGUGCUUUGCAGGUUGUGAGAUCAGGUCAUUGAUAGAGAAAUAAGUGGUACCCGACCCCAACUUACUGAAGAUAUGAUUGCUGUUUUUCCUAUUUCGAUAUGAUUAUGAACUUAAGAUGUCGAAUUCUAAUAGGAGUCGAGUUUACAUGCAAGCAAGCCUUGGGUUUAGAAUGGUGAUUCAAGGGUUUCUUUUUGCUAAUGGAUACAUUCGUGAGUAUUGAGUGGACUUUUUAUGAGUAAAUCUCGUAAUUAUGGGCAAUAACACAAGGGGGCAGUAAACUCCCAGAUUCGAUCCUGGAUGGCUUAAGGGGAUAUGCUGCCACAUUAAAAAAAAUUGGGCUAAUAAUUAGCAAAAUUCAAAGGUAUAGGGUAUUUUCUAUUGUUUUUUCUAUAAUUGUCCGUGUACCCUCAUUAACAAGAAGCCUCGUAGCAUGAGAUUAAGCCCCUUGUGUAUUUCUUCACUUAAGUCCCUCGUGAAUAUACUAUUGAUCUGGAUGCUUAUUGUUGAAUGUAAAGUAUCAUUCAAUGUCUAGUCUGAAAACGUUUUCUACUUUAUAUGAACACUGAAGUGCUUACCAUUCAUAUUUUAUCAGAAGCUUUUUGCAGAA